UAAAAGUGUUUCGCUGUAGUUAAGAAAUGCGUUCCUUCAUCACAUUGGCUGUGAUACUUGUUGUUUCGACGGCUGAAUCUGGUAUCUCGGAGGAACUGAGACUUAGUUCCAGAGGAGACAUGAGCAAUAACAGAGUUAUAACAUGCUCUGGGUUACAGAUAAGCAGAAUGGGUUGCAAUUGUCUAGCUGAUCUCUACAAUGAAAGAGGAUGCAGUAGAAGCCUUAGCUACAAUACCGGCAGUUGUGCCACGUACAACCACCAUUGUAAGCAUCUAAAGGACGGGAAGAAGAAGGAGAAGACUUGUUGCAGAGCUAUCAUGUGCUACAUCAAUAAACACGGAUGCUAAGCUGUGGAUUUAUGUAACCCUUGAAAGAUGGUUGAGAUUGUCAUUUCUUGAUGUUGAACUGUUGAACUAUAAUUACUGUAUGUCGUAUGAUUCAAAAUUUUGAACAACGUCAGUAAUUUAAAGAUAGCAUUAUUCUAAUUGAAUACCAGUUACCGUUAUAAACAGCACUCAGAGUUAAUUUAUGACUAAAUUAUUGUCGUUAAUUUCAAUAAAUAAUUGUGUUUGUUUUUUCUACCA